CCUACGGGAGGCAGCAGUGGGGAAUAUUGCGCAAUGGGCGAAAGCCUGACGCAGCGAAGCCGCGUGAGGGAUGAAGGUCUUCGGAUCGUAAAACUCUGUUUGCAGGGGAGCACGGUCACUGUGCUAAUCAGCAGUGAAUUGACGGUACCUGCAACGUAAGCACCGUCUAACUCCGUGCCAGCAGCCGCGGUAAUACGGCGGGUGCGAGCGUUAAUCGGAAUUACUGGGCGUAAAGCGCUCGUAGGCGGUAUGUCAAGUCAAGGGUGAAAUCCCCGCGCUCAACGUGGGAACUGCCUUUGAAACUGGCAAACUGGAGUGUGUGAGAGGAUAGUGGAAUUCCAGGUGUAGGAGUGAAAUCCGUAGAUAUCUGGAGGAACAUCAGUGGCGAAGGCGACUAUCUGGCACAUAACUGACGCUGAGGAGCGAAAGCGUGGGUAGCAAACAGGAUUAGAUACCCCUGUAGUC
rnacentral:rRNA from 1 species